rnacentral:tRNA from 3 species
GGGGCGGUAGCUCAGUUGGGAGAGCGCUGCGUUCGCAUCGCAGAGGUCGUGGGUUCGAGUCCCAUCCGCUCCACCA